rnacentral:lncRNA from 1 species
AAACAAUCUAGUUACACCCUUUAAUUUAUUUAAAAAUGUACAAUUAAAUUAUUAUUGACUAUAGUCAUUCUGUUGUGCUAUCUAAUAGUAGGUCUUAUUCAUCCUUUUCUUUUUGUACCAAUUAACCAUCCCCCACCUCUCCCCCAUGUACACACCCCCACCCCCAAUCUUCUUUUUUUUUCUAGUCCAAGGAACACCACCCCUUACUUGCCGACUUCCGAAGGUCACCGGGAGCGGGUUCUCAGCCUCUCCCAAGCCCUGGCUACUGAGGCGUCGCAGUGGCACAGAAUGAUGACAGGUGGAAAUUUGGACUCCCAGGGAGACCCUCUUCCCGGUGUGCCGCUGCCUCCUUCGGACCCCACGCGCCAGGAGACCCCUCCCCCCAGAUCUCCCCCGGUGGCUAAUUCGGGUUCCACGGGGUUCUCUCGCCGAGGGAGUGGGCGUGGAGGAGGUCCCACCCCCUGGGGGCCCGCGUGGGAUGCCGGGAUCGCCCCUCCGGUCCUGCCACAAGACGAGGGGGCAUGGCCUCUGCGAGUCACUCUGCUACAAUCCAGCUUCUAAUCCGCCCAAAAGCGGCAGCCAAUCGGAGCGCGAGGACGUGGUCUGGAGGUACCGCCGGAGAUCUGGGACCACUCAGGGCAUCAGGGGGCGUGGUCUGGUCCCCAUU